UUGAUCCUGGCUCAGAAUCAACGCUGGCGGCGUGCCUAACACAUGCAAGUCGAACGAGAAAGCUGGUAGCAAUACUGGUGAGUAAAGUGGCGACCGGGUUAGUAACACGUGGACAACCUGCCACCGAGUGGGGAAUAACCCUGGGAAACUGGGGAUAAUACCGCAUAACACUUUUGAACUUCGGUUUGAGAGUUGAAACUCGUAAGGGGCUUGGUGAGGGGUCCGCGGCCGAUUAGCUAGUUGGUGAGGUAAUGGCCCACCAAGGCAAUGAUCGGUAGCCGGCCUGAGAGGGCGGACGGUCACACUGGAACUGAAACACGGUCCAGACUCCUACGGGAGGCAGCAGUGGUGAAUUUUGCGCAAUGGGGGAAACCCUGACGCAGCAACGCCGCGUGGACGUUGAAGCAUCUUGGUGUGUAAAGUCCUUUCGGCAGGGAAGAAUCUGGAGCUAUCCAGUUGACGGUACCUGAAGAAGGAGCCCCGGCUAACUACGUGCCAGUAGCCGCGGUAAUAAGGU
rnacentral:rRNA from 1 species